rnacentral:rRNA from 1 species
GGAAUUUUCGGCAAUGGGGGAAACCCUGACCGAGCAACGCCGCGUGAGUGAAGAGGGCCUUCGGGUUGUAAAGCUCUGUUGUAAGGGAAGAAGAUAUCAUAGAGGGAAUGCUAUGAUUGUGACGGUACCUUACCAGAAAGCCACGGCUAACUACGUGCCAGCAGCCGCGGUAAUACGUAGGUGGCGAGCGUUAUCCGGAAUUAUUGGGCGUAAAGGGUGGUAGGCGGCACAUUAAGUCUAAGGUUAAAGUUCGAGGCUCAACUUCGGAUUGCCUUAGAAACUGGUGAGCUAGAGUGCAGGAGAGGGCAAUGGAAUUCCAUGUGUAGCGGUAAAAUGCGUAGAUAUAUGGAGGAACACCAGUGGCGAAGGCGGUUGCCUGGCCUGUAACUGACGCUGAGGCACGAAAGCGUGGGGAGCAAAUAGGAUUAGAUACCCUAGUAGUCCACGCUGUAAACGAUGAUUACUAAGUGUUGGAGAAAUUCAGUGCUGCAGUUAACGCAAUAAGUAAU